CACGUAGUUAGCCGGGGCUUCUUACUCAGGUACCGUCAUUUUCUUCCCUGCUGAUAGAGCUUUACGUAACGAAUUACUUCUUCACUCACGCGGCGUCGCUGCAUCAGGGUUUUCCCCAUUGUGCAAUAUUCCCCACUGCUGCCUCCCGUAGGAGUCUGGGCCGUGUCUCAGUCCCAAUGUGGCCGUCCGCCCUCUCAGGCCGGCUACUGAUCGUCGCCUUGGUGGGCCGUUACCCCGCCAACAAGCUAAUCAGACGCGGGUCCAUCUUACACCACCGGAGUUUUUCACACCGCUUCAUGCGAAGCUGUGCGCUUAUGCGGUUUUAGCACCUAUUUCUAAGUGUUAUCCCCCUGUGUAAGGCAGGUUGCCCACGCGUUACUCACCCGUCCGCCACUAACCCAUAUAUCACUAGGUUCAAUAUGGGUCCGUUCGACUUGCAUGUGUUAAGCACGCCGCCAGCGUUCAUUCCUGAGCAGGUACUACAAACUCU
rnacentral:rRNA from 1 species